rnacentral:tRNA from 1 species
GGAGGGAUGUCCGAGUGGCCAAAGGAGGCGGGCUGUAAACUCGCUCGCGUAUGCGUACGGGGGUUCGAAUCCCUCUCCCUCCA